rnacentral:rRNA from 1 species
UACGUAUGGUGCAAGCGUUAUCCGGAUUUACUGGGCGUAAAGGGAGCGCAGGCGGUACGGCAAGUCUGAUGUGAAAUCCCGGGGCUCAACCCCGGUACUGCAUUGGAAACUGUCGGACUAGAGUGUCGGAGGGGUAAGUGGAAUUCCUAGUGUAGCGGUGAAAUGCGUAGAUAUUAGGAGGAACACCAGUGGCGAAGGCGGCUUACUGGACGAUUACUGACGCUGAGGCUCGAAAGCGUGGGGAGCAAACAGG